UGGCUCAUGGUGACUGGUGUCCUCAGUAUGUGACUCAUGACUUCUGUGGUUGACACUGGGUCGGGUUAUUAUCUGUUCUGUACUCACUACUUCACUCGCACAUGGCAGCUCGAUCUUCACCAAAUCAACUGGAACUGGCUCUGAAAUAUAUAUACCAUCACCAUUAGGGGCAAUCCAUAAAGUACAGAUGCAUAAAAUCUGUGAUUUUUACACACACACACACAUACAAAGUACAUUUUUUUAAUGUUCGAUCAUUACCCUCCUCCACUCUCAAAAGUACAUAGGAUAUAAUUAGUAGCAAGGAUUGCAUACAUUUUACACCAAUAAUUUGGCAUAUUUACUGUCCGCAAAACUCCCCUCCCCUUGUACACUCUUUGUACAAAAUGCCCAUCCACUUCCUUCCCUCUGGGCAUACAUACUUUAUAGAUGGCCCCUUAGGUACUAAUAUUUUUGGCAACAAUCAUUGUAAUAUAACUUGGCUUCAUUUCAUAAUAGUAUCAUUGUUGUAUGUGAAGUGGCACGCUAUUGGGCCAAAUAAGGAAAAUCCAAGGGUCUGUGCAUUCAUCUCUGUAAUGCUGCCAAAAAAAAACAUGAUUUUGAAGUUCAAAGUAAGUAGCAUGUUGACAUGAUAUAUGUGAAUAAAUUACAGUGUUUGGCAAUUAGUUUAUUUUGAUAUUUUAUUUUUAAUGAUUUUUUUUUCUGCUGACAAUGUUUGGGGUCAACUUAAUUGAAAACAAUGAUCAAAAUAAAAUGUUUGCUUCUAGUGUAAUAGUAAAAGAGCCAGUAAUUGAUUGUGUGAUUAUUUUUUAUGCUAUCAUUUUUAUACAGUGAAUUAGUUAAAAAUCAUUGUUGUUUGUUACCACUGUCGUCCAAUAUGAGCACGACCUUUGUACCUCAUAAUCGUGUCUUUGUUUGUUUACUUCUACCCUUCAGUGUGUAGAAUCGGACCAUGCAACUCCUUACAAGAAGAACACACUCAACAAAGCUGUCUGGCGGAUGAAGAAAGCAAUGCCAACUGACAAGGGGAAAUUUGUGCAAGUGUUUGGAACCGUGCAACUCCAUGCACUCGUCUUUUUCACCAAAGAUUGGGCAUUGGAGCAAAGUCUAGAAAGAGGAUAAAUUUUCUUGUCACUUCAGUGUCCUCACUCAGGGAAGGCGUCCUUGUGCUCAGACGAAAAAGUACUCUUACUCAGAAAGCAAAGUUUUAGGACUUAAUUAUAAACUAAAGAAGGCACAAAAAGCUUUGACUUAAAUGCCCGAAAAACCCCAGAAAAGAUGCACUGUCAUCACAGAUGAUCCAAAAGGUGGAGCAGUUUUACAGGAGGAGUGACAUUUCUCGUACUCGGCCAGAUGCGCGGAGCACAAAGAAAGCAUCCAAGAAUGUGUAUCUUGUGGCAAGAUUCAGGCAGAAAAAUCCACAUAACAGCCAUUUCGAAGACAAAAUUCAGACAGUUGAGACUGGAGGAUAUCUUGCUUUCAACACGCACAAGAAGACAAAACUGCUUCUGUUAUUAUUGUGCAAAUGUUGGUCUCAAACUAGAGGGCAUUGGUUGCUUUGCAGCAUCUCAGCAUCUACAAGAUCUGACGUAUAAGGAUAGAUAUGACCUGUACAGGUCAACUCUGUCCAAGAGGGGAGGAUGGCGAGUACGAGAUGGCAUGCCUUGAAAGGAAAUGUACAGCCUGGGGGACAUCUGCCAUUGAAAUCAAAUUACGUCCUCUAUUGGAGACCCACAUUGAACACCAAGUGGUUUUCUUCAAGUGGGAGAACAUUACCUACGUACACAAAGGUGUCACCAAGAAGAAGCUGGCUAGGCAGAGGAAAACCCUACUGGCUCUUGAUUUCGUGGCAGAACUGAUAGAAGAGGCAGCCAGCAUCUCAAAACACCUCAUCAAUGCCAGAUGGCAAGAAAAACAGUAUGAUGCAAGUCUCCAGUGAUGUACCAGCAGGCUGGGUCGUCAUCUGCCAGGAUUUUGCUGAUAAUUAUUCUUGCUGGUAUCAGGCUCAGGGAGCAAAUUGGGGACACGAUACGGUGACACUUCAUGCCAAUGUUGCCUCAUACAGGUGCCCCGAAGAUGACUGUUACCUAAUGACUAAUCAUUCAUUAAUGUUUGUGAGCAAUGACCUGAAGCAUUGCCAUGAUGCUGUCCAUACUUUCAACUUGGCAACAAUGGAUUUUCUAACUCACCUUGGCAUCUCGAUAUAUAUAUAUAUAUUUUUUUUUUUUCUGAUGAAGCACCUAUGCAGUACAAAAACAAGUCUGCCUUCUGCGAUAUGGUUCUGAAGACUUUGGGGUUCAUUGUGAACAAAAACAUGACAAAGGACCUGGGGUUCAUUGUGAACAAAAACAUGACAAAGGACCAUGUGAGUUUGGCACACUAAAAAAGGCUAUUAAUCAGUGUGUGAAGGAAAGAAGAGCCGAAAUUGGCAGUGCUGCACAAUUCUUCUCAUACUGCCAUGAUCAUCUGAGCAAAGAAGAUGGUCACGUCCAAAUACAAGAGAUCUUUCUUCUUCACUUAAAUUUGCGGACAUUAAAAGGAACCAAAAGAGGGCGAGUAAUCUGAAGCCUCUACCACAGACAAGACAGUGAAGCCAUACGUCAUCAGCAACAGAGAGAGGAGCUGCUUCUGUCAUGUGUGCACAGAGAGGGAGGAAGGCAGCUGCCAAUAUGCAGACAUUACUGGGGAAUGUAAGCAGGAUGUUGAUGCAAAUACAAGUCUUGUUUACAUGCCCUGUUGCUUAGCCAGUUCCUGUCACUCCUGCAGACGACAAUCUCACUCCAACAGACGACCACUUUGAAAAGGAUGACCCUCCUGCUGACAACUCUCGUCAAGAAAUUAGCAACCCACCUGAUGAUGAUCGCCCUGAAAAGACUGGCAACCUUUCUGUGCACAAUCCUGGAGAAAGCCUACAACUUGUGAUUGAUGUUGCAGCCAUCAAACCAGCAGAAUCCAGCAAGAACAAUCCACUGCUGUUUUUCAUUGGAACUGGAACUGGAACAGAUUUACACAGCCUAUUUUGGACUAGCACAAGUGUAACUAAAUUCAUUUACAAUUUGGUUAACCAUGUGCAUUUAAGAAAAACAAGUCUUGGUAAAUUCAGCCCAGUUUUUAACUAAAAAGUCAGUUUUAAGAUAUUAAAUGUGCACUGAUCACUUUAUGCAAGGAAACAAUUGCAAAAUAAUCAAGUCUAGUUCCGCAUGUCUAUUCAUAUAAAACAAAAAUAAAAACGGUUUCUGAUAAAUAGCUGCAAUUUGUUUCUGUGGUCCAUUUCAAGACAUUGAUUGAUCUCUUUUCAUUUCAUUUCUCCAAACUGACAGAGAUGAAGUCAAAGUCCAGGUUUUGAAGAAGAGGGGCAACUACUACAGCUUUCCUGAACUUGAUAAUGUGUUCUGGGUUCCAUCGAAAGAUGUUCAGUCACUGAAGCCACCAACAAUUAAUGCAAACAGCCAAUAUUUCUUUCAGGGACUGAUUGUUAUAAGAUUAAUUCAAAAGCAGUCAAACUGAAAUAAAACUGAAGAAUGUUUCACAUUUUGUUGUCAUAUUUCUGGAUUAUGUUGUUCAUUUUUACCGAUGAUGAUUUUGG